AUGGGUCUGGGUCUUGUUCUGGGUCUGGGUCUUGUUCUGGUCUGGGUCUGGGUUCUGGUUCUGGGUUCUGGGUCUGGGUCUGGUUCUGGUUCUGGGUCUGGGUCUGGUUCUGGUUCUGGGUUCUGUUCUGGUUCUGGGUCUGGUUCUGGUUCUGGGUCUGGUUCUGGGUCUGGUUCUGGUUCUGGGUCUGGGUCUUGUUCUGGUUCUGGGUCUGGUUCUGGUUCUGGGUCUGGGUCUGGUUCUGGGUCUGGGUCUGGGUCUGGUUCUGGGUCUGGGUCUGGUUCUGGUUCUGGGUCUGGUUCUGGUUCUGGGUCUUGUUCUGGUUCUGGGUCUGGUUCUGGUUCUGGUUCUGGGUCUGGUUCUGGGUGUGGUUCUGGUUCUGGUUCUGGGUCAGGGUCUGGUUCUGGUUCUGGUUCUGGGUCUUGUUCUGGGUCUGGUUCUGGUUCUGGUUCUGGGUCUCGUUCUGGUUCUGGGUCUGGGUCUUGUUCUGGGUCUGGGUCUGGUUCUGGGUCUGGUUCUGGUUCUGGGUUUGGGUCUUGCUCUGGGUCUGGUUCUGGUUCUGGGUCUGGUUCUGGUUCUGGGUCUGGGUCUGGUUCUGGGUCUGGGUCUUGUUCUGGGUCUGGGUCUGGUUCUGGUUCUGGGUCUGGUUCUGGUUCUGGGUCUGGGUCUUGUUCUGGGUCUGGGUCUGGGUCUGGGUCUUGUUCUGGGUCUGGGUCUGGGCCUUGUUCUUCUGGGUCUGGGUCUGGGUUCUGGGUCUGGGUCUGGGUCUUGUUCUGGGUCUGGGUCUGGGUCUGGGUCUGGGUCUGGGUCUGGGUCUGGGUCUGGGUCUGGGUCUUGUUCUGGGUCUGGGUCUGGGUCUUGUUCUGGGUCUGGGUCUGGGUCUUGUUCUGGGUCUGGGUCUGGGUCUGGGUCUUGUUCUGGGUCUGGGUCUUGUUCUGGGUCUGGGUCUGGGUCUGGGUCUGGGUCUGGGUCUGGGUCUGGGUCUUGGGUCUGGGUCUGGGUCUGGGUCUGGGUCUGGGUCUGGGUCUGGGUCUGGGUCUGGGUCUGGGUCUGGGUCUGGGUCUGGGUCUGGGUCUGGGUCUGGGUCUGGGUCUGGGUCUUGUUCUGGGUCUGGGUCUGGGCCUUGUUCUGGGUCUGGGUCUGGGGGAUUGA
rnacentral:lncRNA from 1 species